rnacentral:rRNA from 1 species
CCUACGGGAGGCAGCAGUGGGGAAUAUUGGACAAUGGGGGCAACCCUGAUCCAGCCAUGCCGCGUGUGUGAAGAAGGCCCUCGGGUUGUAAAGCACUUUCAGUGAGGAAGAACGCCUGGUGGUUAAUACCCAUCAGGAAAGACAUCACUCACAGAAGAAGCACCGGCUAACUCCGUGCCAGCAGCCGCGGUAAUACGGAGGGUGCGAGCGUUAAUCGGAAUUACUGGGCGUAAAGCGCGCGUAGGUGGCUUGAUAAGCCGGUUGUGAAAGCCCCGGGCUCAACCUGGGAACGGCAUCCGGAACUGUCAAGCUAGAGUGCAGGAGAGGAAGGUAGAAUUCCCGGUGUAGCGGUGAAAUGCGUAGAGAUCGGGAGGAAUACCAGUGGCGAAGGCGGCCUUCUGGACUGACACUGACACUGAGGUGCGAAAGCGUGGAUAGCAAACAGGAUUAGAUACCCUUGUAGUC